AGUUGCCCCCACCCCAAUAGGGGCUGCUGUCACUAUUUCUGAGCUCUAGAAGAUCAUAGCCACAUACUUUUCUCAGAAGGACGCUGCAUGCCCUUUAUUGCCCACAGGUGGCCUCAUUCUGAUCCACGGUGAGGUGGUCCAUAAAAGUGAAGCAAAUCACUCGGAGACGUCUCGCAACGUCUACACCUUCCACGUGAUGGAGGCCAAGGACACUGUCUGGAGCGCAGACAACUGGCUUCUGCCAACCCCUGAGUUGCCUUUCCCAUCUCUCUACACCCACGAGAACUAACAGCUGAUGCUUUUGAGGUAACCACUGACCAAUGUUUCCCUCUGAAUCUGUUACUGGAAUCUCAAUUUCUGGCAAUGUUUUAUUUCUGAUUGGGGGCAGUUAAAGCAGGAAGACAAUUCCCAUUGAGCCUGACAUCAGCAUGUAAUACAGUUCUGCCAAAUUCCUCAAGUACGUUGACAGGGCACAAUAAAUAUGAAUACUGA